AGGGCACCACCAGGAGUGGAGCCUGCGGCUUAAUUUGACUCAACACGGGAAAACUCACCCGGCCCGGACACUGGAAGGAUUGACAGAUUGAGAGCUCUUUCUUGAUUCAGUGGGUGGUGGUGCGUGGCCGUUCUUAGUUGGUGGAGUGAUUUGUCUGGUUAAUUCCGAUAACGAACGAGACUCUAGCCUACUAAAUAGAUAGUCGGCUUACAAACGUCGACUAGACUUCUUAGAGGGACAGGCGGUGAUUCAACCGCACGAAACAGAGCAAUAACAGGUCUGUGAUGCCCUUAGAUGUCCGGGGCCGCACGCGCGCUACACUGAAGUGAUCAGCGUGCUUUUUCAGCCUACUCUGUCAAGAGUGGGAAACCCAAUGAACCUUCUUCGUGAUUGGGAUAGGGGAUUGUAAUUAUUCCCCUUGAACGAGGAAUUCCCAGUAAGCGCGAGUCAUAAGCUCGCGUUGAUUGCGUCCCUGCCCUUUGUACACACCGCCCGUCGCUACUACCGAUUGAAUGUUUU
rnacentral:rRNA from 1 species